rnacentral:rRNA from 1 species
GAUGAACGCUGGCGGCGUGCUUAAUACAUGCAAGUCGAACGCUGGAAAUCUAGCUUUCUAGGUUGAAGGAGUGGCGAACGGGUGAGUAAUACAUAAGCAACCUACCCACGAAUACGGGGAAAAUCUCGGGAAACGGGGACUAAUACCGAAUAGGUAACCGGAAGCCAUCUGCGGAUUAUAAAAGUUUAAAAACACUGGUGGAUGUGCUUAUGUGGCAUUAGUUAGGUGGGGAGGUAACGGCCCACCAAGACGAUGAUGCGUAGCCGGCCUGAGGGGGUGAACGGUCAGAUUGGGACUGAGCAACGGGCCAGACUCCUACGGGAGGCAGCAGUAGGGAAUUUUCGGCAAUGGGGGAAAGCCUGACCGAGCAACGCCGCGUGAGUGAUGACGGCGUUCGGGUUGUAAAGCUCUGUUGUAAGGGAAGAACUGUAGAUAGAGAAUAUCUAAAUGACGGUACCUUAUCAGAAAGCCACGGCUAACUACGUG